AGUGGACGUGCCGGAGUGGUUAUCGGGCAUGACUAGAAAUCAUGUGGGCUCUGCCCGCGCAGGUUCGAAUCCUGCCGUUCACGAUUUUUUUAUUUUCAAACUAUUCUUUUCCAUUUGUAAAACAAUCAAGAGAAACUCCUAAGCAUUUAUGAUCAUGCUAUUAUUAUAUUUUUUAUUAUUACUUGGGUUUCUGACACACACAGAAAGCAAAUUUUGUAUCACAACUUCUUCACCCAACAAAUUUGGUGAUCUCCUUAUCUGUUAUCUGUAUUUGGAAUAAGACUUUUAGUGUAGAAUAUAGAGUUCUUAAGUGAAGAUACUAGU